UCCCAGGUGGCAUAGUGGUAAAGAAUCUGCCUGCCAAGCAGGAGAGGCAGGAGAAACAGGUUCGAUCCCUGGUUUGGGAA
rnacentral:tRNA from 1 species